rnacentral:other from 11 species
GAUUUCGUCGAUUCGGUCGCAGCAUUCAAGGCGGUUGACACUUUCAGAAAGAAAAAGAAAAGGAUUGGAGGAAAGGAUGUAAAUAAUAAUAAGUUUAGAUAUAGACCGGAGAGAUACGCCGGUCAGGAUUCGUUAAAUUAUAAAGAAGAAAAUG